GGGGCGGUAGUUCAGUUGGGAGAACGCUUCCCUCGCACGGAAGAGGUCAGGGGUUCAAGUCCCCUCCGCUCCACCA
rnacentral:tRNA from 2 species